rnacentral:rRNA from 1 species
UACGUAGGGACCAAGCGUUGUUCGGAUUUACUGGGCGUAAAGGGCGCGUAGGCGGCGUGGUAAGUCACUUGUGAAAUCUCUGAGCUUAACUCAGAACGGCCAAGUGAUACUGUCGGACUAGAGUACAGAAGGGGCAACUGGAAUUCUCGGUGUAGCGGUGAAAUGCGUAGAUAUCGAGAGGAACACCUGCGGCGAAGGCGGGUUGCUGGGCUGAUACUGACGCUGAGGCGCGAAAGCCAGGGGAGCGAACGGG